rnacentral:rRNA from 1 species
UACGUAGGGUGCAAGCGUUGUCCGGAAUUAUUGGGCGUAAAGAGCUCGUAGGCGGUUUGUCGCGUCUGCUGUGAAAAUCCAGGGCUUAACCCUGGACCUGCAGUGGGUACGGGCAGACUAGAGUGCGGUAGGGGAGAUCGGAAUUCCUGGUGUAGCGGUGAAAUGCGCAGAUAUCCACAGGAACUCCGGUGGCGAAGGCGGCACGCUGGACCCCCACUGACGCUGAGGCGCGAAAGCCAGGGGAGCGAACGGG